GCGACGGGGCUCCCAGCAGGCUUUGCUGCGAGUUUGCGGAGCCCCCUGGCCCCCGGAGGGAGAGCUGACUCUCUCUUUUCAUCAGCAGCCCCCUUCCAAUAAAACAUAAUGGCGCUGAGGCUGCGGGGGAAAGUCAUUCAGCCACACAAAGCUGUCACAUGAACGGGACGAAGCACAACGGGCUCAGUCAUUCUGCUGCUGCCGCUCGGCUACUGGGACGGAUGAGUGGGCUAUACUGAACUGGCCAGACGCGCAGCAUGAUCCACAGAGAAGACACCGCUCUCAAUGUGCUGAGCUGCCACUGAGGGACAGUGGGCAGGAAGGCAGGCACCCGCUGUGCUCAACUGUACAGCCAGGGUUCAAGCUGAAAAAUCUGGUUUUGUGCUGAUUUUUCAUUUCACUUUCCCGUUUUCCCCCCAGAGUCGCCACCAAUUCCAUAUAUGUGUCUAUUAGAGCUCUUGUCAUUGUAAACCCCCUCCCAAAGGAUUGUUUAUUUUGUGACCCAAACACACCAGCCAUGUCCUAUUGCUGCCAUUUUUCCACACAUCAACAUACUGCAAGAUCAAAAUCGAUGCAGAAGAUAGAUCGUCUUUUUUUAUUCCUUGCAGGCCCAUGUCUGUCACACUCCACAUUUCCAGUGUGCAACUCAGUCUUCUAGCACAGGUCAAUAUAACUGAUUAUAUCAUCAGGGGUUAUUUUCUCAGACUGACAAGAGUUUCGAAUUAGUGGAGUUCCCCAUCAAUGGACAUGCAUCAUCACAUACUUAUGUUCAAAACAAUCUGCUUAGCCAGAAAAUACAAAAGGAGAAAGCUAGAAACUUUAAAAUCCAUUUCCAAACACUUUUAAUAUCUAUCAAGCAAAAGUGCAAAACAUUGUAAAUUAGGUUUCUUUAACCAUUUACACCCUGGACAUACAGCAUGCAUGAGCAGAUCAUGACAGCUUCCUCGCUGCAGUGGCUCACACGCCUGUGCUGCUGCUAACCCUGUUCCUACAUCGAGUUUGCCUUUGAUAAAUACAAAAAAAGCCUUGUUAACAAAUGAAUGCAUUCUGUGCACAGAAACCCAAUCUGAAACAGACACAGGAGGUGUUGAGUUAAAAAAACUAUUUCUAUAUUUUUGUCUGUGACACGUACAGAUACACUGUAGUGAAAGGUGUUUAUGUUGCUGUAUAACAUUGAUAUGGCUGAACACAUGGUUUUCACUGUCACUACUUCACUUUCUUGCUGGGGACCUUGUAGACCUCUGCUUUCGUGAAGCGUUGCUGCUGCCUUGCAGCUCAUGUGAGCAGUGAUGCUGCUCUUACCUGUUGACGUGGGCACUAAAGUGAAAAUCAAGAAGUUCCGCUGCAGCAGCAGCAGGCAGUGCAGCCGGAGCUUUGCACGUCUUGGGUUCUACCACCAUUUUUCACCAUUUCAGGCAAUUUCUAGACUAAAUAAUAAAUCUAUUAAUUAAAAAAAAAAUCAUUGAUGUAUGUAUUAUAUUAAUGUAAAUCGUCAGUUCCACUCCCUACUUAUAAGAGAUUUCCAAAGGAGUAUUCUUUUAAAGCUAAAAAUCUCACACUCCCUCCUCCUCUCAUUAACUUUCCUCCUGUCCUUUCCUUGCUUCCUCCAAGUUAUAUCCUGGUACAAGACAAGUGGCAGCGCAAGAAGAGAGGAAGCCCCGCUGAACAGGUCUGCAGAAGUCAGGGACAUGCUCCCUCACUGGCUUCCCACCUUUGAACACAGCCACUUACAAUCUUUGGGGGCCCAGGCAAAGACAGAGGCUCCCCUGCUGGGAAAUGAACCCAAGUCAGCGGUGGUGGGCGACUGCUUUACCCCUGCGCCGCUCACACGAGCCUUGCUUCGUUCUGUUUAACAUAAAGCUUGCCGUCAGCCACCCACUUCUGGUUCAUUUCCAGGGCUAGUCUCUGAAGGGUAAGUAGGGCACUUUGCCAUUUCAAUAAUAGCUGCAUUUGCAAAGCUUACAGCUGCAGGCUACAGCCUUUACAUGGAUUUAGAGCAACCUUACCGACUGUGGGGUAGUUGAGUAGUUAUAAUCUAUUCAGCUGCCCGUGUUUUUUUCUGAAACAUUGUCAUGGAGUUCAUGGUUAAGAUCUGACAUGCUAGAGUCGUUUCAUCCCCAUUCCCAUGAGCCCUGGCGGAUGUGAUUUGACUGACAGGUCAGGACUGCCAGUGGGCUGUGAGCCCUCACUGAGAGGCUGACUGACAGACACUGCUGAGAAGUGGAUUAAAAUGGACAAUUAUCCUCACAGCACACCAGGCCUCCUGUACUCUAUCUGCGGCGGCUUUUGCGUCUACACUACACCAGAGAGGGAUUUGCCAGCGGCCACCCUGAACAGCACUGUGUUAGGGAAACUCCUGAAUGACUGACACGGAGAGGGUGAUGCAGAGAGAAUCUUCUAUGAGUGUGUGUAAUUUUACAUCAGUGAUACAUCGUCACAUGGUGGUCCCUUUUCUGGAACAUCAACUUGGAAACUGUUUAUGGAUAAAAUAAAUUCUCGGGAAUUUC